UACGAAGGGGGCUAGCGUUAAUCGGAAUUACUGGGCGUAAAGCGUGCGCAGGCGGUUUUGUAAGUCUGUCGUGAAAUCCCCGGGCUCAACCUGGGAAUGGCGAUGGAGACUGCAAGGCUAGAGUUUGGCAGAGGGGGGUAGAAUUCCACGUGUAGCAGUGAAAUGCGUAGAUAUGUGGAGGAACACCGAUGGCGAAGGCAGCCCCCUGGGUCAAAACUGACGCUCAUGCACGAAAGCGUGGGGAGCAAACAGG
rnacentral:rRNA from 1 species